UACGAAGGGGGCUAGCGUUGCUCGGAAUCACUGGGCGUAAAGCGCACGUAGGCGGAUUGUUAAGUCAGGGGUGAAAUCCUGGAGCUCAACUCCAGAACUGCCUUUGAUACUGGCGAUCUUGAGUCCGGGAGAGGUGAGUGGAACUGCGAGUGUAGAGGUGAAAUUCGUAGAUAUUCGCAAGAACACCAGUGGCGAAGGCGGCUCACUGGCCCGGAUACUGACGCUGGAGGUGCGAA
rnacentral:rRNA from 1 species